rnacentral:tRNA from 1 species
GCGCCCGUAGCUCAGCCGGAUAGAGCAACGGCCUUCUAAGCCGUGGGUCGCAGGUUCGAGUCCUGCCGGGCGCG